rnacentral:rRNA from 1 species
UGAGGAAUAUUGGACAAUGGGUUAGCGCCUGAUCCAGCCAUCCCGCGUGAAGGACGACGGCCCUAUGGGUUGUAAACUUCUUUUGUAUAGGGAUAAACCUACUCUCGUGAGAGUAGCUGAAGGUACUAUACGAAUAAGCACCGGCUAACUCCGUGCCAGCAGCCGCGGUAAUACGGAGGGUGCAAGCGUUAUCCGGAUUUAUUGGGUUUAAAGGGUCCGUAGGCGGAUCUGUAAGUCAGUGGUGAAAUCUCACAGCUUAACUGUGAAACUGCCAUUGAUACUGCAGGUCUUGAGUAAAUUUGAAGUGGCUGGAAUAAGUAGUGUAGCGGUGAAAUGCAUAGAUAUUACUUAGAACACCAAUUGCGAAGGCAGGUCACUAAGAUUUAACUGACGCUGAUGGACGAAAGCGUGGGGAGCGAACA